AGACCCGAAACCCGGUGAUCUAGCCAUGGGCAGGUUGAAGGUUGGGUAACACUAACUGGAGGACCGAACCGACUAAUGUUGAAAAAUUAGCGGAUGACCUGUGGCUGGGGGUGAAAGGCCAAUCAAACCGGGAGAUAGCUGGUUCUCCCCGAAAGCUAUUUAGGUAGCGCCUCGUGAACUCAUCUCCGGGGGUAGAGCACUGUUUCGGCUAGGGGGCCAUCCCGGCUUACCAACCCGAUGCAAACUGCGAAUACCGGAGAAUGUUAUCACGGGAGACACACGGCGGGUGCUAACGUCCGUCGUGAAGAGGGAAACAACCCAGACCGCCAGCUAAGGUCCCAAAGUCAUGGUUAAGUGGGAAACGAUGUGGGAAGGCCCAGACAGCCAGGAUGUUGGCUUAGAAGCAGCCAUCAUUUAAAGAAAGCGUAAUAGCUCACUGGUCGAGUCGGCCUGCGCGGAAGAUGUAACGGGGCUAAACCAUGCACCGAAGCUGCGGCAGCGAACGUAUCACUUAAAACGAUUCAGAAGCUUACGAUUGACGGAGCGAAGCGACGUCAAAGCGUAUACAAAGUCGAGUCGGUUUAAGGAUACGUUCGUUGGGUAGGGGAGCGUUCUGUAAGCCGUUGAAGGUGUCCUGUGAGGGGUGCUGGAGGUAUCAGAAGUGCGAAUGCUGACAUAAGUAACGAUAAAGCGGGUGAAAAGCCCGCUCGCCGGAAGACCAAGGGUUCCUGUCCAACGUUAAUCGGGGCAGGGUGAGUCGACCCCUAAGGCGAGGCCGAAAGGCGUAGUCGAUGGGAAACGGGUUAAUAUUCCCGUACUUGGUGUUACUGCGAAGGGGGGACGGAGAAGGCUAUGUUGGCCGGGCGACGGUUGUCCCGGUUUAAGCGUGUAGGUGUGUGUUCCAGGUAAAUCCGGUUCACUUUAACACUGAGGCGUGAUGACGAGGCACCACGGUGCUGAAGCAACAAAUGCCCUGCUUCCAGGAAAAGCCUCUAAGCAUCAGGUAACAUCAAAUCGUACCCCAAACCGACACAGGUGGUCAGGUAGAGAAUACCAAGGCGCUUGAGAGAACUCGGGUGAAGGAACUAGGCAAAAUGGUGCCGUAACUUCGGGAGAAGGCACGCUGACACGUAGGUGAAGUGAUUUACUCAUGGAGCUGAAGUCAGUCGAAGAUACCAGCUGGCUGCAACUGUUUAUUAAAAACACAGCACUGUGCAAACACGAAAGUGGACGUAUACGGUGUGACGCCUGCCCGGUGCCGGAAGGUUAAUUGAUGGGGUCAGCGCAAGCGAAGCUCCUGAUCGAAGCCCCGGUAAACGGCGGCCGUAACUAUAACGGUCCUAAGGUAGCGAAAUUCCUUGUCGGGUAAGUUCCGACCUGCACGAAUGGCGUAAUGAUGGCCAGGCUGUCUCCACCCGAGACUCAGUGAAAUUGAACUCGCUGUGAAGAUGCAGUGUACCCGCGGCAAGACGGAAAGACCCCGUGAACCUUUACUAUAGCUUGACACUGAACAUUGAGCCUUGAUGUGUAGGAUAGGUGGGAGGCUUUGAAGCGUGGACGCCAGUCUGCGUGGAGCCGACCUUGAAAUACCACCCUUUAAUGUUUGAUGUUCUAACGUGGACCCGUAAUCCGGGUUGCGGACAGUGUCUGGUGGGUAGUUUGACUGGGGCGGUCUCCUCCUAAAGAGUAACGGAGGAGCACGAAGGUUGGCUAAUCCUGGUCGGACAUCAGGAGGUUAGUGCAAUGGCAUAAGCCAGCUUGACUGCGAGCGUGACGGCGCGAGCAGGUGCGAAAGCAGGUCAUAGUGAUCCGGUGGUUCUGAAUGGAAGGGCCAUCGCUCAACGGAUAAAAGGUACUCCGGGGAUAACAGGCUGAUACCGCCCAAGAGUUCAUAUCGACGGCGGUGUUUGGCACCUCGAUGUCGGCUCAUCACAUCCUGGGGCUGAAGUAGGUCCCAAGGGUAUGGCUGUUCGCCAUUUAAAGUGGUACGCGAGCUGGGUUUAGAACGUCGUGAGACAGUUCGGUCCCUA
rnacentral:rRNA from 1 species